CCCGUAUACGUUUGUAUAUAGUUUAUUGAAAGCUCCAGACCUCGCAUCUGACAUGCUAUUUUUGGACAGAAUUCACAGAGUCCAUAAGCCCAGACAUUUAACCGAUUCUGUCCCACAAGAUGUUUUGCUGCCAGCACACUAUCACCAUGUCAAAGAAUUGAUUCUCUGAAAUAGAGUUCACCCCAAGAUCUAUAAAGAUAGAUUUUUGUUGAUAUAUAU